rnacentral:tRNA from 1 species
UGGGACGUAGCUCAACUGGGAGAGCACCGGUCUCCAAAACCGGAGGUUGUUGGUUCGAAGCCAACCGGCCCAGC